GAUGAACGCUGGCGGCGUGCUUAACACAUGCAAGUCGAACGGAACUACUCCAAUGAGAGUCUUCGGAAAGGAUUUGGUUUAGUUUAGUGGCGGACGGGUGAGUAACGCGUGGGUAACCUGCCCUAUACAGGGGGAUAACAGUUGGAAACGACUGUUAAUACCGCAUAAGCGCACAGGAGCGCAUGCUCCGGUGUGAAAAACUCCGGUGGUAUAGGAUGGACCCGCGUCUGAUUAGCUGGUUGGCGGGGUAACGGCCCACCAAGGCGACGAUCAGUAGCCGGUCUGAGAGGGUGAACGGCCACAUUGGGACUGAGACACGGCCCAAACUCCUACGGGAGGCAGCAGUGGGGAAUAUUGCACAAUGGGGGAAACCCUGAUGCAGCGACGCCGCGUGAGCGAAGAAGUAUCUCGGUAUGUAAAGCUCUAUCAGCAGGGAAGAAAAUGACGGUACCUGACUAAGAAGCCCCGGCUAACUACGUG
rnacentral:rRNA from 1 species